GCCUAUGUAGCUCAGCGGUAGAGCACUUCCUUGGUAAGGAAGAGGUCGUGAGUUCGAUCCUCACCGUCGGCU
rnacentral:tRNA from 1 species